rnacentral:rRNA from 1 species
UUGAAAGGGAAACGAUUGAAGUCAGUCAUACCAACGGGAAAUCAACCUUUUGAGCUCGGUCUCGUGGGUUUUGAAGAGUUUCAAAGCCUUCAGAUUCGCGGGAUUGGGAUCUCUUGGUGUACUUUUUCGUACGGUUAGUCAACAUCGGUUUUGAAUGUCAUAAAAUGACUGGAGGAAUGUAGCUUCGAUCUCGUAUUGAAGUGUUAUAGCCUUUGGUAGAUGUGAUGUUUGAGACCGAGGAUUGCAACGGAUACCCUUCAGGGCUAUUCGUCUGAUCUCUGAUACGUUGCCUUGAUGUUGAAAGCUUGCUUAUGAUUUUGGGGUAUUACGGUCAAAAGGUUAGAACGAAUUACAUUCGUUAAGGAUGUUGACGUA